rnacentral:rRNA from 1 species
GUCUUUUUGAGUUAUUUUUAAAGUCUGACCUGCCCACUGAAUUUUUUUAAAUGGCCGCAGUAUUCUAACUGUGCAAAGGUAGCAUAAUCAUUAGUCUUUUAAUUGAAGGCUGGUAUGAACGGUUGGACGAAGUAUAAGCUGUUUCAUGUAAAUUUAUAGUAGAAUUUUAUAUUUUAGUUAAAAAGCUAAAAUGUAAUUAAAAGACGAGAAGACCCUAUAAAUCUUUAUAUUUUAUGUAAUUUAAAUUUUUUUGAUUUUUUUUAUUUUUAUUAUAUCAAAUAUUUUGUUGGGGUGAUAUUAAAAUUUGAUGAACUUUUAGUUGUUUUAAGUCAUUAAUUUAUGAAUUAUUGAUCCAUUAGUAGUGAUUAUAAGAUUAAGUUACUUUAGGGAUAACAGCGUAAUUUUUUUGGAGAGUUCUUAUCGAUAAAAAAGUUUGCGACCUCGAUGUUGGAUUAAGAUAUAGAUUUAGGUGUAGUCGCUUAAAUACUGAGUCUGUUCGACUUUUAAAUUCUU